CUGCUCCAUAAAAGAGACACGUGCAAAGAUCAGAAAGCAGCAAUCUGGUACAUCUGCUGAAACUUAUAAUUGUUUUCAACUGGAAGACUGGAAGACAGUCCACAUCAGCUUCUUUUUGCCGGUUUCAAAGGAAAACAUCCAGCGGCAUCUCUGCUGACCUGCAGCAAAACAUUCAGGUAUGACCACAGCAAUUUCUCCACAACUGAAACCAGUAAGUCAACUUUUAAAUUUUAAGCUUAAAUUGUGUUCUUACAGAAAUACAUAGUCUUUUUUGGUUGGGGAUGGGGGGCAAUAAAUGAUCUAGAUGGAUCUCGUUGGCAUAGUUAUGUGUUGAAUCCUGGAGUGAGAGAUGAAAAAGCUCUACGCUGUCAGAUUCCUCUGACCCAAUAUAAGAAUUGCUGCUUCCCCGUGUUCACAGGAUUUGUUGUUUUGCUAUUUUCCACAGACUGAGCCCUUUGUGCAAUUUAAAGAUACUGUAUCAUAAAAUACUGUAUGGUGUUCCAGCACUCACACACACACACACACACACACACACACACACCCACACACACACACACACACACACACACAUAUAUAGACCUCAAUUGUCUCCAGUUAGUACAGAGCACAGCAGAGUCUGCCGUAGAACUCCAACUCUUGCUUCUUUGCACUUGUUACCUGGGAUGUAACAGUGUUGAUUUUAUUAUUUUAUUUUUCUUUCUAAAGAAGAAUAA